GUAGUUCAAUAGGCAUUAUGAAUUUUGUAAUAUCCUUGCAGUGUUUUUACUAAAAGCCAAAGCAGAAUGACCCUAGCUGAACAAUACAUCUUGUAAAAUUGCAGCAGUUGCUAAAAGCUUGAAUACUGCAGAUAGCCAUGGGUCUGAAUGCAGUUCUGUGUACUCUUUAAGAACAAUUGAUAUAAUUUUCAGGUAUCUGAAGUACAGAGACUCAUCUGCUGCAUUCUGCCAGGCAAUCAUGAGGUUGAAAGUGGCCUGGAUCUCAGUGACCAGGCUGUGGGAAGCGACCACACAUCAAUCUCAUAGCCCCAGGCAAGGCAGUGAGCCAUCUGAUUCCAGGAGAGCGGAGCAGGUGUGGGAAAGCCACCAGCCUCCCCUGAAGACAGCUAAGGUACAGUAAGAAGAGGAGUCUGGGGAAGGAACACAGAGAAGCCAGUUCACACAGGUUUUGUAGCUAUGCAAACAGCUUCAGUCAGGGAUCUCAGGCUCACUGGGUUAAAUCUGACCUCACUUUGAAAUCAAACUCCCAUUGACUCAACAGGGACAGACU
rnacentral:lncRNA from 1 species